GACGAACGCUGGCGGCGUGCUUAACACAUGCAAGUCGAGCGGUAAGGCCCUUUCGGGGGUACGACGAGCGGCGAACGGGUGAGUAACACGUGGGUGACCUCGCCCUCAGCUCUGGGAUAAGCCUGGGAAACCGGGUCUAAUACUGGAUAUGACUCCAUGACGCAUGUUGGUGGGGUGGAAAGCCUUGUGCGGCUGAGGAUGGGCCCGCGGCCUAUCAGCUUGUUGGUGGGGUGANGGCCUACCAAGGCGACGAC
rnacentral:rRNA from 1 species